UUCCAUAUCCGACCGUCCGUCUUAUAUAAAAUUUUUUAUGAUUAGUAUUUUAUUAUUGUUAGAUGAUAAAAUAUGAAUAAUACUUUAUGCAUGACUUAUCUUUUUAUUUUUUUUAAAAUAAAACAGACGGUCAAAUGUUAAACAUGUAAACUCAG
rnacentral:pre_miRNA from 1 species